UACAGAGGGGGCAAGCGUUGUUCGGAAUUACUGGGCGUAAAGGGCGCGUAGGCGGCCUUCUAAGUCGAACGUGAAAUCCCCGGGCUCAACCCGGGAACUGCGUCCGAUACUGGAAGGCUUGAAUCCGGGAGAGGGAUGCGGAAUUCCAGGUGUAGCGGUGAAAUGGCGUAGAUAUCUGGAGGAACACCGGUGGCGAAGGCAGCUCGCUGGGACGGUACUGACGCUGAGGCGCGAAAGCGUGGGGAGCAAACAGG
rnacentral:rRNA from 1 species